ACGAGGCUAGAUGGCUUCACAAGAUGGCGGCGCGCUGGGAGCGUAUCAUCUGCGUUUCUAGGAGCUUCGCUAUGCGGCUGCUUUAAGAUUCUAGGGUUGUACAGGCCCACGCCAGACACGACGUCUGGCAGGAACCUCGGCCUCAGAGACUCGCUUGAACCUGGGAGGUGGAGGUUGCAGUGAGCCGAGAAUGCCACUGCACUACAGCCUGGGCGACAAAGUGGGACUGUCUC
rnacentral:lncRNA from 10 species